UUUAAAAUGGCUCCACCAAAGUCAAUUUUGACAAUCAACAGGGUUCCCGCAACAAAAGCAGUAGCUCUCUUUUGAGUUGUGCCACAAUAUUAAAAGUCCUUUGAAGAAUAGGAAACUGAAGGCCUGAGCUAGCAGGGUCCCAAGGAGAAAGCACAUGCCAGCUCAAAGGGCAGCACUGUGCCUUGUACACAGCGGCCUCUCAACCACUGCUGUGGAAAAGAACAACAUGGAAUAGAAUUGUUUUCCAGUUUAAAAAAAUUAGCAGGUAGAAAGAAUUAUAAUUGCUUAACACAAUGGCUGGCAGUACAGCUGCACAUGGGAAUCACACGGGGAGCUUUACAAACUAUUCAUGCUUGGUCUCACCCUGUGGGAUUCUGGUUUAAUUGGUCUAG
rnacentral:lncRNA from 1 species